CGCUUCAUAUAGUCCUAUACUUGUAUGAAAUAUAUACCGUUUUGUUGGAGUUCGUGUUGCUCGGUCUUAAGUUCUUUAUGUUACGUUUUAUGUACUAUUGUAUUGUAUUUGUCUAUUAUAUUCGGGUGCGUGCGGAGAUCGCCAAGCUAGAAAACGGUUGACAUUUUCUUCAUUAUGAACUAGAACUAUUUUCGACCUCGGUGCCUUAUUUUUUGUUAAAAUCUAAACACUGCGACGUGUUUUCAAAAUCUUUGUUCUCAUAAAACUUCAUUUCAUCAAGGUCUCUUCUCAGAAUAUCAGCCAUCUGUCUGGCACAGGAUAACAAAUCAAUAUUUAAGUAAAUUUAAGUUGUGUGGCAAUUCUUUGUACAUUUGGGUAAAUUAAUCUUAUCUUUGUGCCGCAUAAGCAUCUCUAUAAUUCAACACAUCCCUGAGCCACGACAUUAUAUAUUUUAUGCAUCGCAUGCGCUUCUUUUUAUCACAAUCCAGACCGGC
rnacentral:lncRNA from 1 species